CCUACGGGAGGCAGCAGUGGGGAAUUUUGGACAAUGGGCGAAAGCCUGAUCCAGCAAUGCCGCGUGUGGGAAGAAGGCCUUCGGGUUGUAAACCACUUUUGUACGGAACGAAACGGUUCGCUUUAAUACAGUGGGCUAAUGACGGUACCGUAAGAAUAAGCACCGGCUAACUACGUGCCAGCAGCCGCGGUAAUACGUAGGGUGCGAGCGUUAAUCGGAAUUACUGGGCGUAAAGCGUGCGCAGGCGGUUAUAUAAGACAGUUGUGAAAUCCCCGGGCUCAACCUGGGAAUUGCAUCUGUGACUGUAUAGCUAGAGUACGGUAGAGGGGGAUGGAAUUCCGCGUGUAGCAGUGAAAUGCGUAGAUAUGCGGAGGAACACCGAUGGCGAAGGCAAUCCCCUGGACCUGUACUGACGCUCAUGCACGAAAGCGUGGGGAGCAAACAGGAUUAGAUACCCUGGUAGUCCACGCCCUAAACCGAUGUCAACUGGUUGUUGGGUGNAUAUACUCAGUACGAAGACACGCGUGAGUAGACGCCGNGGGAGGACGGCCGCGAGGUAAGUAACGUACGAAAGAAGUAGUUAGGCGUGAGAGNGCGACGGACGACGACGAGGGAGGAGG
rnacentral:rRNA from 1 species